rnacentral:rRNA from 1 species
GAUGAACGCUGGCGGCGUGCCUAAUACAUGCAAGUCGAGCGAACAGACGAGGAGCUUGCUCCUCUGACGUUAGCGGCGGACGGGUGAGUAACACGUGGAUAACCUACCUAUAAGACUGGGAUAACUUCGGGAAACCGGAGCUAAUACCGGAUAAUAUAUUGAACCGCAUGGUUCAAUAGUGAAAGACGGUUUUGCUGUCACUUAUAGAUGGAUCCGCGCCGCAUUAGCUAGUUGGUAAGGUAACAGCUUACCAAGGCAACGAUGCGUAGCCGACCUGAGAGGGUGAUCGGCCACACUGGAACUGAGACACGGUCCAGACUCCUACGGGAGGCAGCAGUAGGGAAUCUUCCGCAAUGGGCGAAAGCCUGACGGAGCAACGCCGCGUGAGUGAUGAAGGUCUUCGGAUCGUAAAACUCUGUUAUUAGGGAAGAACAAAUGUGUAAGUAACUAUGCACGUCUUGACGGGACCUAAUCAGAAAGCCACGGCUAACUACGU